UUUUUUUUUGUUAUUUGAUUUGAACAUUUUUUUGAGGUUUAUCUAUUGUGACAUGUUAAUACAUGGUUGAAAAAUUGUGGGGGCUAUGAUGCUUUACGGUUCAUAGAUGAAAUUACCCAGUGUUUAUUAACCCGGCCUGGCUUUGACUAUAAGUCGCCAAUGUAAGAUGAUCUUAUAUACUUGGAAGCACUGUGCUCUAAGUUUUGGGAUAUUACCCCUUGCUGCAUACGGCGUUGUAAGCCGGCGAUAUAUGUCCAAGGCAUUGGGCGCUCAAUAUUUUGGGUUGUAACCCUCACUGAACAGGUAUGAUAAGCCGGCAAUAUGAGCAAAUAUCACAGGUAUGAUAUUUUGUUAUAAUUAUAUAAGGGUAUGAUUAAACUGGCCCUGGUUAUGGACUAUCUUAGUCACUAGUGGUUUUUAUGGGGUAUUGUGACCCGCCCUGCGGUAAACCGCCAGGGUACUUGUGAUCUGCUUGUGUGCAGGUCAAAUACUAAAUCUAGCAUACAGAGUUGAUGAAAUCAUGAGCAUAAGUGGCCAAACUUCAAUUGGUAAAACAGCAGUGUCAUGCAAAGCAAAACAUGCACGAUGGCAUGGAAGAUCAAGAGUUUAACUAGCCUAUUACAAGGCAUCUGAUGGCCAAUGAGAAUAAGUGUUUUGAAGCUGUCAACUUGGCAAAGUAAUUUCCUUAAUAAACCGGCUUAUGACUGAUGACGGGUUGAAGCCUCCGAGUCUUCCUGCACCUCUUCUUCAUCUUCAGCUCCUUGCUUAUCCAUCAGCUGGAAGUCAGGCGCAGCCCAGUUGAUACCAGUCAACGCUCUAAACACAGCUUCAUCAUCAAUAAGGUUUGAUGGAUCAAUGUCAAGAGCGAAGGUAUGCUUACGAAUAGGCAGGAUAAGAUCUGUUGGCUCAUGAACCAGCGCGCUAACUCUCUUGUUGUCAGCAUCAUAAGAUGCCUGGUAUGCGGAUAGACUGGUUUCGUCAGCUAGCUUGCUUGCUAAGGGGCGCAUGGCUCUUGCUAUCUCUGCAAAAUCGUCAGCACUGAAGGCAGAUUCGUCUUCUUUGACACUGGGACAGCCGUUGGCCAAAUCCUUCGGGUUAAGAUCAGCCUGCCAUGCCUUUGCCCAGCUUAAAGUAGUCAAGGCGCCGGCUCUGGCAGCUCCCCGUUUUAAGUCAUCAAUUCUUUUUGGCAGCACGGAUAACUGCUUCAGUGUAUCCUUGAUAAGUGUGGAGGGAGUUUUCUUGUGCAGCGUACAGGCAAUGGUUUGUUGGGCACCAGUAUAUAACUGUUCUACAAGAGUGUAGACAGUCUUAAGCCGGACGCGCAUGUCUGAGCCCAACUCCGUGCUCCGCGAACCUGUAUCAUUAAAAGUUAUGGGUAAGCCGGCAGCCGUUUGAAAAUAUGAUUAUUAAGAUGCAAGGGAGACAUGUUCUUACCGAAGAUGGCUGAUGGCAUAAUAUUAAUCUGUUGCUUUAAGUCGGAUAACUCCUCAGUCACCGGUUUAAGCGUGGCUUCAGCUUCUUCUGCUCUCUUCGAAAGAGAUGCUUUUUCAGUUUCCCAGCCCUCUUUGUCAGACUUCCAGUUCAGUUUUAGCUGCUCAAUAUUUUCCAAAGCAGAUUUCAGUUCUGACUUGGCUUUGGAUGUCUCUGACUGCUGAGUUUUGAUAUUGGCUUUAAGAUCAUUAAGCUGUGAGUCUUUUUUAGUCAAUUCAACCUAUGACAUAAGCACACGCAGAUAAGAUUGCAAUCAUGAUAAACUCUUUGAAGUCCCAAGCACAAUACAAGUGUUACUCUUGGCACUUGGGGGCUAAUGCGUAUUGCUCUUUUUUAACACAAAUUUUUGGAAGUCCCAAGCACAAUACAAGUAUUACUCUUGGCACUUGGGGGCUAAUGCCUAUUGCUUUGUUUCAAGACAUAUUUAUGACCCGGACAAAUGAUAUCAUCCGGUUUAUAAAAGACUACAGAUUGGGUUGAUUGAUUUUAAGCAAGAUGAUUAGUCACGUCUUAUUCAUCACUGAUUAAGCCGGCCCUUGGGGGCUACGGAGGCAAAGUUGAUUUUUGCUAUUUAAAGUCCCGGCUUAACAUGCUAGUUAAGCCGACCCUUGGGGGCUACGGAUGCAUUAUUGAUUCUUGCUACUUAAAGACCCAGAUUAACAUAUUAAGCCGGCCCUUGGGGGCUACACAUACAAAGUUGAAGUGCUGGUAUUCUAUGUCCCGGUUCAUGUUGAAAGCAUAAACCGGCCCUUUGGGGCUAUUGGAUUUGAUCUAUGCAACUAUUGAAGUUUACAACACAUUCUAUUCUAUCAUAUCCAAUAAACUUGGCGACUAAGGGAAGCAUAUUCAUAUACAAAGGAGUUGCAGCAUUUACCUCAUAGCGCUCCUUCAUCAGGUUAACUAAGCCGGCUUCAAAGUCACGACUGGUGUAUAGACGGUUCAAGUAACCAGAGUGGAUGUCUUGGGCACUGAAAUGGGUGUAGCUCUCCAAGUCUACCUUCCAUUUGCCUUUAUCUUCAGCAGAGAUUUCUUCCUUAGCGCUAUGCUUGGAUAAGACAGUAGGUUGACCCGGGGCUGAGAAUCCAAAUCCGGUGACGACUACAUCAUCAGUUUUUCCUCAAGAGGCUUAACUGGACUUGGCGGCUUAGAGAUGGCCGGCUUAGCAUCCAUACAGUCUGUGGAGACUUCAUGGUCUUGAGGCGGCGGAUCAUCAAUAAUAUCUUCAGGAAUUGGGUGAGAGAGUUCCAGUUGUUAUUGCUCCGGCUCAGAUGGGUUGGCAUCUUUGACCGGCUUGCUCAGCUUCGCCUUCUUGCUGGGUUUGGCUUGGCCUCUGAAAAUAAGAAGUGUAAAGAGAUCAGUAUAAUGAUCAAGCAUAAGGUGUGAAUGAUUAAAAUAUAUCCUUACCCAGGUACAGUUUUGAAAGCUGAGAUUUGCGUUCCUGUUGACUCGCCAGAAGAGGAAUGAGAAGUCCUCUGAUAGUUUGAAUUGGACGGGUUAAGAGGUUGUCGGAAAUGACCCGCCUUGGGAUAAAGUAUGUCAGAAAUAUGUAAGACCUCUGGGCGGCGUUUGUGAACUGGUGUUUGGUAAGCCGGAGGAAGUAAUCACGCCGCCACUAUGCCGAGUGGUGCGGCGAGCUUCGUGUUGCUGUUUCUUCAAAAGAAAGUUGGGAUCCAAGUGAGCUAGAGGGUGAGAAAAUCUUACUUUCCGGCUUGCUUGUCAGGUUUUCUGUGUUGGCAGAGGUUCUGAGCCAGAAGAAAGAAUAUUUACCUCUGCGUCACCUGCACAGCUGGCUUCUGCGUCGUCCUGAUAACAAUCAUUGUCAAUGAGAUGUAUAAAAAUGAGCCAAGAGAAUCAAGUUCUACCUCUGACUCAUCAUCAUCAUUGUCAUCAUCAAUGUUUGAACCGACGGGGUCGGUGGUCUUCUUUUUAGCAGGCUUUUUGGUGGCUUUGGUUUUGGUAAGAGCCGGUUUGGCCGGCUUAUCUUGCGGUUUCUUUUUCCAAAAUAGAGAAUCAGCCUGUGGUAUAAUUAUUGAAAAUAUUGAUUGAGAAGAAGGUGUGCAACACUUACGGCUGGCGUCUUGUUGAAGCUACUGAAAGGACUAAGUCAUGUUUUACUGCAUUCCCUUAAAGGUUCAUUCAGCAAUUUCUUGGUGGCUUAGUAAUUUCCGCAUCAGACAGUUGAAUGUCACAGUGGCGCUGGGGAUCUUUUACAUUGCCAGUAUAUUCGCACAUUAAGCCGGGGCGACGGCUUAAUGGCAAGAUACUCCAGGACACCCAGCACCGGACAAAGUCGACGCCGGUUAAGCCGUUGGCCAUUAAGGCUCUGAGUUUUGAAAAUGCUCGUGGAUAUUUGGCCCGUUCCUUCGCACUGAGCCGUGAGGGGAGUGGAUGUGUGCCGCUAAGUCCGCGAUCACGGUAACCCGACAGAGGAUUCUCAUCAGCUGGAGAUGUAUCUUGACAAUAGAACCAAGUUUGGUUCCAAUCUUUGGGAUGACUAUGCGGCUUAGCAUGGGGAAAGCUGACUUCUUUCCUCUUUUGAAUGGAAACCCCACCGAGUUUGGUGUUGGGCCCGUCAACAAACUCUGUCUGGCGGUUUAAGUAGUAGAAUUCUCUGAAUAAAUCAACUGUGGCCUCCUCUUGAAGGUAAGCUUCACAUAAUACUUGGAAAUUGCAAAUGUUGGACAUGGAGUUGGGUCCAAUAUCUUGAGGGUGAAGUUGAAAAAAAUGAAGUACAUCACGGAAAAACUUUGAGCCGGGUGGGCUAAACCCCCGACUCAGAUGGUCAGCAAAAACAAUCACUUCUCCAUCAUUGGGUUGAGGAGGAUUUUCUUCACCAGGGGCCCUCAAGUGGAUGUCCUCUUUCUUGGCUAAGGCGCCAGUGGCAACAAAGUUGUUCAGUUCUUCUUCAGUAACCCAGGAUUGGACCCAGUUGCAAGAAGUGUAUGUCUUAGCCAUUUUCUCAAUGAUCUGAAAGAAAGAUUAUGCCGGUUCAAGAUUAUAUGGUUAAGCUGGAGAUUGGCAUUGAAGUUAUAAAGACGAGCUAUUGGCGGAUUAAGAGGGGACUAAUGGUACCUGGCGGGUUACUAUUUCUAAGUUAAGCCGCCCACACAACUAUUGAAGUACAGAUCUGAGAAAAGAAAAAUUGCUAAGUGUUGGGAAAACAGGUUUCACAGAUUGAUGCUAUGAUUUCGGAUCAGCAGUACUUCAGAUAACGGAAAAAUAUUUAGGCCUAAAUUACGGUGCUUGAGCAGUUCAUAAGGUCCAGAUCAGGUUUUUUAUGCAAAAGGAGAUGCCCUAAUAGUGAAAAUAAGUGCUACGACUACCACCGCGCAGGAGAGGUACCAAGUUCGAAUCAAAAGCACAAGUAACAGCAUAGAACGAAGAUGAACUCCGACGAACUCGUAGGAAACCCUAAUGGGAUCUAUGGGAAAGGAAGGAGGAGAACUCACCAGAGCUGUUGAACAGCGGAGGCGCGCGGACGAAUUCUGGUCAAAUCAGGUUGAUGCAGCGGCCGUCAUUGAGGCAGUGGCGAAGGUCGACGGUGGCGGCGGAGCUCGAGUGCUGAGGCGACGCGAGGUGGAAGACAGAGAUGAAGAGGCAAGGGGGAAAGUGAAAGGGACCCCUGACCCUAUUUAUAACGUCGAAAGGAUAACUGGCAUGCGCGAGAAUCGAGGAGGCCAAAAAAUGGAUAUGCGACAGCACAGACGCUUCAAUUUUCGAAAGUUCAUUAAAAGAGAGGAUAUAUUAAGAUUUGGUCUUUGAGUAACAUUAAUGGCAGGUGACGUCAUGGCGGGUUACCACAAUCCUAGGUGAUGACGUCAUGGCGGGUUACAGGGCCUCGCAAGAAUAAGUGAAGAAGGAUUUUUUCUAAGUGUUGAAGAUUGAUAUGAACAAGUUCAAAUCAACCUGGGGCCUAAUGUUGGGGAUAUGACUAUUGGAUAUGACCCGCCCAGGAGAGGCCGGGUUAUACCAAUGGCGGUUUAUCAAGAUGAAGCCCAUGAAGAUGUUGAAGAUGGCGGUUCACGAAGCAGACUUGUUAAGGGCCCGAAGCCCAAAGGCGACUUAAGGCCCAUAGGUAUAAACCGCUAUGUAUGUAUGACUUGUAUUGUAAGGCAAGUGUAAUUAGUCACCGAGCCGGACACGUUGUUUAUGAGCCGGCCUGGACUCCGUGAGCCGCUGGGCGUCAACCUGUGUAUAUAAAGGGACGACCCGGCGGCGGUUUAGGACAAGAAACAAUAGAUCAAAAGCUAGGUCAAGCAUAUUCGCUCCCUGGUAAUCGAAACAUAAGCAAUACCACCUCAAACUGGAUUAGGCCUUUACCUUCACCGCAAGGGGCCGAACCAGUAUAAACUCCCCAUGUCCUUUGUCCCAUUUUAACCCCUUUAAGCUAACCUCGACGCGAUGGCUCCACGACUAAGUCCCCACACUAGGACAUCUGCCGUGACAAUUCCACGACACUGAGGACAUGGGAGAAGUCUUGUUAUAAGUAAUCAUGUGAAUAUGGUAUUCGUUCGAUAUUUUGAUGAGAUGUAUGUUGUCUUUCCUCUAGUGGUGUUUUGUGAACGUCGACUACAUGACACUUCACCAUUAUUUGGGCCUAGGGGAAGGCAUUGGGAAGUAAUAAGUAGAUGAUGGGUUGCUAGAGUGACAGAAGCUUAAACCCUAGUUUAUGUGUUGCUUCGUAAGGGGCUGAUUUGGAUCCAUAUGUUUCAUGCUAUGGUUAGGUUUACCUUAAUUCUUCUUUUGUAGUUGCGGAUACUUGCGAGAGGGGUUAAUCAUAAGUGGGAGGCUUGUCCAAGAAAGGGCAGCACCCAAGCACCGGUCCACCCACAUAUCAAAUUAUCAAAGUAACGAACACGAAUCAUAUGAGCAUGAUGAAAACUAACUUGACAACAAUUCCCAUGUGUCCUCAGGAGCGUUUUGCAUUAUAUAAGAGUUCGUCCAGGCUUGUCCUUUGCUACAAAAAGGAUUGGGCCACCUUGCUGCACCUUGUUUACUUUUAUUACUUGUUACUCAUCACGAUUUGUCUUAUCACAAAAUUACCUGUUACCGGUAAUUUCAGUGCUUGCAGAGAAUACCUUGCUGAAAACCACUUGUCAUUUCCUUCUGCUCCUCGUUGGGUUCGACACUCUUACAUAUCGAAAGGACUACGAUAGAUCCCCUAUACCUGUGAGUCAUCACCGAGCACUACGAAAAUAUGACCGGGGACGAACUAGAGGGAGAGGGGCGCCGCACAUGACUUGGGGAUCGUGGUGUGUGUUGCCCCUCUCCCUCCACACACAUAUAUAGGUGGGGUGAGGAGGGGAGGCAGCCUAGGGCAACCCCAAGGGGACCGGCGGCCACCCUUAUCCCCUGCCCUGGUCGCGCCCCCCUUCCUUCUUGGGCGCGCGGGGGGAAGGCGGGAGGGUUGGCGCCCCCCCCCCCCCCCCUUCCUCUUAGGUGGGGGGAAGGCAGGAGGGGCUGGCCCUCCCCCUUACCAUCCAUAGGGUCGGCAGCCUAGAGGUGGGGCAUGCCAGCCCCUUGUGGGCUGAUGUGCUUCCCUCUCUUGGCCCAUAUGGCCCAUUAACCUCCCGGGCCCUCCCGGAACCCCUUCCGAUGAACCGAUGACUACCUGAUACAUUCCGAAAUAGCAUCGUCCUAUAUAUCAAUCUUUACCUACGGACCAUUCCGGAGCUCCUCUUCAUGUUUGUGAUCUCAUCUGGGACUCCGAACAACAUUCGGUAAUCAACUCACAUAACUCAUAUAAUACUAUAACGUCAAUGAACGUUAAGCGUGCGGAGCCUACCGGUUCGAGAAUGAUGUAGACAUGACCGAGACACCUCUCCGGUCAAUAACCAAUAGCGGAACCUGGAUGCCCAUAUUGGUUCCUACAUAUUCUACGAAGAUCUUUAUCGGUCGAACCUUAUGACAACAUACGUAACUCCCUUUGUCUGUCCGUAUGUUACUUGUCGAGAUUCGAUCGUCGGUAUCUUCAUGCCUAGUUCAAUCUCGUUACCGGCAAGUCUCUUUACUCGUUCCAUAAUACAUCAUCCCGUAACUAACUCCUUAGUCACAUUGCUUGCAAGCUUCUUGUGAUGUGUAUUACCGAGAUGGCCCAGAGAUACCUCUCCGAUACACAGAGUGACAAAUCCCAAUCUAGAUCCAUGCCAACUCAACAGACACCUUCAGAGAUACCUGUAGAGCAUCUUUAUGAUCGCCCGGUUACGUUGUGACGUUUGAUAGCACACAAGGUAUUUCUCCGAUAUCCGGAAGUUGCAUGAUCUCAUAGUCGAAGGAAUAUGUAUUUUGCAUUAAGAAAGCAGUAGCAAUAAACUAAACGAUCAUAUGCUAAGCUAACGGAUGGGUCUUGUCCAUCACAUCAUUCUCCUAAUGAUGUGAUCCCGUUAUCAAGUGACAACACAUGUCCAUGGUUAGGAAACCUUAACCAUCUUUGAUCAACGAGCUAGUUUUCUAGAGGCUUACUAGGGACGCGGUAUUUGUUUAUGUAUCCACACAUGUGCUUAAGUUUUCGAUCAAUACAAUUCUAGCAUGAAUAAUAAACCUUUAUCCUGAAUAAGGAAAUAUAAUAAUAACAAUUUUAUUAUUGCCUCUAGGGCAUAUUUCCAUCAAAACUACAAUCUAUGAAGAUGUGGAGGUAUUUGGGGUUGGGCGAAAGGCUAGAGUUUGGACGUGGAUUACGCAAUACACAUGAAGCAGGUGAAAAUACCUUCGUCAAACAAUUCUUUUGAGGUGGAUUUAAGUUUAUUUGGAAAGAACGUGACUGGUGGGAUGCUAGUGAUAUUGAAAUGGGACACAAUAAAAUCACGGAGAGAAUCAACAUCAGAAGUAGUGGGCUCACCAUCAAAAGGAAGAUCUAAGAUCUCAUGGAUCACAUACUUGGUUAUCGGGACAAACUUUUUCUCAGCUGAAUCUAGAAGUAGCAACAUAAUUUGUAACCUUUUCAUUUCACAAACCUAAGAGGUGUUUGGCACACGUGAAACAUACGCUAACGCAAAACAAAAAAUUCUACCACACAACCAAAAACAUUGUAACACCCCGGAUGUAACUUUCCAUAUUUGUAACUCCAACUCUUGCCAUUUUCGGCUAUGUGUUAUGAUAUUCCCUUCGUGGUCGGGUUUUGUCUUUCGUUUUGCUUUUUGUUCAUGUCAUGCAUCUCAUAUCAUGUCAUCAUGUGCAUUGCAUUUGCAUACGUGUUCGUCUCAGGCAUCCGAGCAUUUUCCCCGUUGUUCGUUUUGCAAUCCGGCGCUCCCACCUCCUCCGGCGCACCCCUCUUGUUUCUUUUCGUGAGUGGGUGUUGAACGUUCUCGGAAUGGACCGAGGCUUGUCAAGUGGCCUUGGUAUACCACCGAUAGACCACCGGUCAAGUUUCGUUCCAUUUGGAGGUCGUUUGGUACUCCAACGGUUAACCGGGUAACCGCAUAUGCCUUCUGUGUGUUGCAGCAAAAACCCCUCUCUAAACAGCCCAAAACCCCUCCAAGUCAUCUCCAUGCUCUAGGUCGUUCGAUCACGAUCGUGUGGGAGAAAACCGCACCUCAUUUGGACUCUCCUAGCUCCCUCUAUCUAUAUAAAUGUGAGACCCCCCGAAAUUCCCGCAGUCCAAAACCCUAACCCGCUCCUCCGCGCCGCCGGACGUGUCCGCCCGGGGCCGAACACAUCGGCGCCGCCGCCCGCAGCCACUCCGCGCCUGCCACGUGGCCCCCGGCCACCGCGCGCGCCCNNNNNNNNNNNNNNNNNNNNNNNNNNNNNNNNNNNNNNNNNNNNNNNNNNNNNNNNNNNNNNNNNNNNNNNNNNNNNNNNNNNNNNNNNNNNNNNNNNNNNNNNNNNCGCGCCGCCGCCGCCUCCCUUCGCCGCCGCCGCCGCCGCACCCGCGUUCCCUGUCGCCGUCCCCGCCCCCUCGGCGUCCGUGCCCGUCCCCCGACACCGUCCCCGGCGCCUCCUCCUCCUCCCUCGCCCGGAGCUCCGGCGAGCUCCUUCGGCCCGAGGCCAGCCAGAUCUGAUCCGCAAAUCGAGACGGUUGACUUUUCUCUCCUUCCCCGUUUUCUCUAAGUCUUUAUAUUUUUACAUUACAUGCCCAUGUUCAUCGCAUCAUAACUCUCUGCAUUUAGCUCCGUUUCACGCGUGUAAUAUAUCGAAUUCUCAUGAUGCUCUUCAUUUUGUUCCAUUGCACCAUGUUCAUUUGAGGCCAUCUUGAUGCCCAAAUCUCUGGUGCAAGAGUGCUAGUUGUUGUUAUCUGCUGUUACUUAGCAGAACUUGGUGAUUUGUUAUUUUUGUUGCAUUUAUUCUGUGCAUCUUAUGGGCAUGAGCUCUACAUGUGUUUUUUUUGUAUGCCAUGCCAUCUUUCCAGUGGUGUAUGCCAUGUAUUUUUGUGAUCUUUGUGGUGACUAGCACAAGCAUGCAAACUAGGCCCCGUAAUGUUUCUGAUUUCAGGGACUUAGUAUUUUCUCCAAGUCUUUGUCUGUUGUUAUUUUGUUGCCAUGUAAACUUGAUGCUACAGAGAGAUACAUGCAUAUUUUGGAGAUGUUCAGUAAGGAUGUUUUGUAGAUAUUAUUGUAAUUGAUCCAUUCCUGCCCUUGUUUGCAAUUAUGGAGUGCCAUAGCAUGACUCAAUCUUGCUCUACUUUUGCUGUAAAAUAUUUCUGGUAGUUGAUCCAUUCAUGCUAUGUACUUUCUCUUGCCAUGGAUAGCUUCAUAAACAUGCCAUCUUGCUGUAGGUAUGCUUGUUUUGUCAUGCAUUGCUUUGUGGUGAGUGCAUCAAGCUCACCAAGAUGCCUUCAUAUUAGUGUUUCUGCCAUGCUCUGUUUUCUGCCAAGUCUGUAAUCUGUUAGAGAGCGAUCACCGGGUUAUAUCUGGCACUUGGAAGGGUGUGUUUUAUUAAGUAUCCAGUUCUAGUUGUCAUAAGGUCAAGGUACAACUCCGGGUCGUCCUUUUACCGAGGGACACGGCUAUUCGAAUAGAAAAACUUCCCUGCAGGGGUGCACCACAUAACCCAACACGCUCGAUCCCAUUUGGCCGGACACACUUUUCUGGGUCAUGCCCGGCCUCGUAAGAUCAACACGUCGCAGCCCCACCUAAGCACAACAGAGAGGUCAGCACGCCGGUCUAACCCUAUGCGCGCAGGGGUCUGGGCCCAUCGCCCUAUGCACACCUGCACGUUGCGUACGCGGCCGGAAGCAGACCUAGCCUAGUGGCGUUCCAGUCCAAUCCGGCGCGCGCCACUCAGUCGCUGACGUCACGAAGGCUUCGGCUGAUACCACGACGCCGGGAUACCCAUAACUACUCCCGCGUAGAUGGUUAGUGCGUAUAGACCAAAUGGCCAGACUCAGAUCAAAUACCAAGAACUCGUUAAGCGUGUUAUGUCGAAGUAACCGCGGACGCCGUCCAGGGCCAGGCCCACCUCUCACCUAGGCGGUCUCAACCUGCCCUGUCGCUCCGCCACAAAGAUCCACUUGCGGGUACUCCUACGAGCCGACCCGACUUUAUUUACCACAUGUGUCAUGUAUAGAGUAUAUAAGCAUAUACCCGUGAUCACCGCCCAGGUGAUCACGGCCCGAUAGUAUAGCACAGCAGACGGACAAGAAUGUAGGGCCACUGAUGGAAAACUAGCAUCCUAUACUAAGCAUGUAGGAUUGCAGGUAAAGGUAGCAACAGUAGUAGCAAGGGCAGGCUAUGCAUCAGUAUAGGAUUAACGGAAAGCAGUAACAUCCUACACUACUCUAAUGCAAGCAGUAUAGAGAAGAAUAGGCGAUAUCUGGUGAUCAAGGGGGGGGGCUUGCCUGGUUGCUCUGGCAAGAAGGGUUCGUCGUUGAUGUAGUCGAUCACAGGGGUACCGGCAGCGGUCUCAGGGUCUACCGGAAAGAAGUAACGGAGGCGGAACACAAUAAAUAACAGAGUAAUCAAAGCAUCACAAAGCGUAACAUGGCAAUACACGGUGCUAGAGGUGACCUAACGCAGUAUCAGGUACUACUGGAGAAGGGGGCAAACAUCCGGGAAAGUAUUCCCGGUGUUUCGCGUUUUCGGACGGGCGGACCGGAGGCAAAAUGUUGCAUGUUCGCUAUGCUAGGGACGUGUGGUGAACGAAUGGACUGCGUAUCCGGAUUUGUCUCGUCGUUCUGAGAAACUUUCAUAUAUAAAUUAUUUCUACCUGACUUACGGUUUAUUUUAUAUGGUUUUCCAAAGUUGUAUUGAUUUUCUGAAAUUACAGAUUUAUUUUAAUUCGAAAAUUAAACGGGAAAUUGCUAGGUGCACAUGGUGCACUGCACCCAGAGUGCACCAGAGGGGCUGACUGGUGGGACCAGUCAACUGCACAGACAGCAGUUGACUGGUACACCUUGACCAGUCAAAGUAGCCGCCUGGCCCCACUUGUAAGUGACUCAGGGGGAGUUUUAUUUAAUCUAAUGUUUUAGCUUAAGUUAAUGGCCUUGGGCCCAAGUGUCAGUGGGGUUAGUGGGGGUGAUUAGUAGCUAAUCUAAGUGCCACGUCAGCGGCGCAUCGGCGCGCUAACGACGGCGAGGCGGGGUACGCCGGCGAUGACCGUGCGGUCGCCUCCGACCUUGGUUUGCCGCGCGGUCGUGUGCGUCAGGAAGCUGGCGAGGUGGCACGUCGACUGGUACCGAUGGCGUCGCCGGAGUUAGCCGGAGCUGGCCGGAACGGCGACGAAGAGCAGCGGUGGCGUUCGGGGAGGGGUGCAACGUCAGCGCUACGGGGCAGAGGUGAGGCGUGCGAGUGUGCGUCGUGCUCCUGGGAGCACCAGGAGAACGGUGCUGGGGUCGGGCGAGGCCCACGACGGCCAUGGACGCGUCGGCGGAGCUCAUCGGCGGCGGUGGGGGUACGGGCAUGUCGCAACUACGCGUGCGAGCUCGAAAUCAAGCCCGAGAAAAGGGGGAGAAGGAGCGCGCGCUCACAGUGAGGACGAGGUGCUGCUGGGCUUAAGCCGGGGCGGAGUGACGACGGCUAAUCGAGGAGGCGAACGGUGGCGGCCGGAGGAUGAAGAAGGUCCCGCUCCACUCGCUGCCGUGGCGCCGAGCUCGCACGGGGGCGCGUGGACGACGUAGGGGAGGCAGACGGAGCUCAUGGACUAGAUCUCGGAGCGCGGGGUCGACGUUAGCCGCGGCGGCGAGCAAAACCAUGGCGACGGUGGCUCGGCAGUGCGCGGGGAGGAAGCAAAGGCGAGGGGGAGAACGAGAGGGCGACGGAGUGAGGAGCUAGGGUUAGCAGGAGGGAGAGGGGGCUUUUUGUACUGAGGGGGAGGUCGUGGAUGGCUUCCACGCAGGGCUCGGGUGGCCAUGGCCGGGGGGAUGAGCGCCACGAUCCCCCCCUGCCUCCCUGUAGCAGAGGAAGGGGGCGAGGGGGUGGGCUGGCCCCUUUUGGCUAGAUGGGCCAAGUGGCCCAGGAGGCUCUCUUUUUGUUUAACCUUAUCCUUUUUCUUAUUUUUCUUUUCUGAUUUAAUUUUAUUUCCCAAAUUGUUUUAGUUUUGUAAAAUAUUCAUUUAGUACCUAAAAUAGUAACCUUAAUUAUACCACUGCCACAAUAACUUUGGAACCUAGCUAAAGUAGUUUAGUAUUUUAUAAAAUAUAAUAGGGGUAUAACUAAUUGUUUUUGCUGCUGUUGUCAUCACUUUAGGGUAUUUAAUUAUUUUAAAAAGAUGUUGUUUCUCCACCAAUAUCAUCCAUGAUUUAUUUGUCACAUUAACAACAUUUUAUUUUUAAUAUUUGAAAAUAUUUUAUUGUUUGCUUGAUUUUGAAUUUGAAUUCGAACAGGUUUCGAACUAACUCUAGAUUAGCAACUAUAAUCGAGGUGACGUGGCAUCAUUAGCAGAGGUUCACUGUAGCUUAAUUAUCCGGGCGUCACAAUUCUCCUCCACUACAAGAAAUCUCGUCCCGAGAUUUAAGCGGUGGAGUAAGGGGGAAGGUUCGGGUUACGAAAUUCUAGGGAGUGUUCUUGGUCUUGGUUGUUCUUCUCGAAGAGGUUGAUCCAUUACAUUGAUGUCUUCAUUCUGCUGUUUCAGGUCAUCAUGAUCAAGUCGGCAUCCUUUCUUCAGGAUCUCCAUCGUACUUACGAUAGAGUAAGGGGGUAUUCCGGAAGAACGGACCUCUGCAAGGUUGACUAUCUGGUCGAUAUCAUCGGGGAAGGUGGCGGAAAGUAACUCUCGAAUUGAAACUUAAGAAAAUAUCGAGAGCAAAAUAAAGAGUUAUCAUGGGAAGUUUCAAGCGGGCAGGCAAUCGUUCGAUGCCUGAAACAAAGUGUGAAAUGGGUUGAGAUCAACGGGAAUAAGUAUUGUGUCUGAUACUAGAAUAUAUCACUUCCCAGAUGGCCCGUGAGUUACAUAAGAAGUCAAGCGCGAGGAAUAUCUUUGAUAACAUGGUGUACAGGAGAGUCAGGUUUCGAUCCUGUGGAACUGUGGGUUAUGGGCCCACCAUGUGGGUUAAAAGUAAGAAGGGCGGUGACAUCUUGCAUGAUCAUGAUAGCAAGGCAUGUCAGAGAGUACCCUGUCAGUUAUGUCGGCAACACGUUGGUACCAAGGGCGAGGGACGAAGAGAACCAUUUUCCUGCUCGUUGAAACGAGGCGGACCAUUAGGCAAAGUUCUCGUCCAUCGGUGGCUACCGGGAUGUCAUCAACAAUAGUAACAGGGUCGUGCUGACAGAAUUGUACACCGAGGUGUUUACAUAAGCAGGAGAAUAUUUCUGCUUAGCUCAUAUAGAACUCAAGAAGGGUUAAACAAAACAAUGGAAAGGAAAAUAUCAUCAUCAGAUUAAACAGAACAAUGGAAAGGAAAAUAUGUUAAAACACAUAUUUCAGGGGUAUUUCCUUCCCAAGGACCAGCAAAGCAUGAUAUCCAUGAUAGGAUAUAAUGUAGAAAACCAUCUAGGUUAGGGGGAGGAAGUUCAUGACAUUACCCAAACAGCGGUGUUUGGAUAAUUGAGCAGGAAACAUUUAGCAUUGGGCUUCAAAUGUUCCUGUUGAAAAUCGGAGUACCAUAGACAUGCUUCGAGAUAGCAUUGACAUGGUCAACAGGUGAAGAUCAGACUUUGGAAACAAAAAGGAUCCAUUAGGAACAACCUAUAGAAUAAGUCUUACAAUUUCCUCACGAAAGAAUGACUAACCUUGUCAAAAAGGAAACUAUAACAAUAGGUCCCCCGGCCAGGUGUGCUAGGCAUGACAUCACCUUACCGGGUCAUAUAAAGACCAAUGUUAUAACUCUUGGAAAUAUGUUCCAACCAUCGUAUCUGACCGAGAUUCAGUUUUGAUUGGUGUCAGGAUACCUCAGACUUAGGAUGCCUGAGAAGGAAAAGGUGCGGCACCAUUUGACGAGAUGACAUUGUAAGAUUCUCGGGAAAUGAACUAUGGAAGCGAGUUCCGAAACAAGAGUCCAUCAGUAAACCAACGAGAGGAUGAGGAGGUGACUGAUUGACUCAGCGACAAUCCAUUGAGAUUUCCAAAAGAUGGAUUUCCACAACUAUAUGAACAAGGAGAUAACACUAACUAGAUCGAAUGACUUAAUGAUGUAUGCUCGAGGAAAACAUACACAGUUAAACAUUGGUUGAAAUGUGCACCCGAAAUAUGGGCUAGGUAGCACGAUCAAUGUUCGAAUGAUGAUUCAUUAAGCCAUAGACGUAGAAUGAAACUAUAGACCAAUAACUCCAAAGAAAUAGGGUUGCUAGAAGUUUAGAAUUUACACAUCACAGACCAUUUGUUCGGUAUUUCGUUUAGAAACAACACGGGGACCCAGAAAGAAUGGUGAUGGCGAGAAGUAUCACUGUACCAAGAAUUCUUAAGAGGUGGAGUAAUGCUCACGACAUUCUUGACAUCAAAGAUGGUAAUACUCCACGGUAGAACAUAACAUAAGUUGGAUAGCAGGGAAAUCAAGAUACAACACAAAAUAUGAACAAGUUUGUGUUGGGGGGAGGCAAGAAUGUUGUCGAUGAUAACACAAUUCAUCGAGGGGCAAGGAUGGUAUUUCUCAUCCUGAAUUUCAACACACAACUUGGAAGAAGUCAAAUUGUUGACAAUGAUCACGACAAGUUUGUCGAGAGGUUUUCAAGAAGAUGUAAUUGAUCGACGAUGACAUCAAGUCAAAGGAAUGAUGAAAGCGAAAGGUUAUUGGAACCACGGUUAGGACACAAACUCGAAAUCAAGUUUGCAGUUCAAGGAGAAGUGAUAUGACGAGGAAGAUCGACGCAAGAUUAGCUCACUGUCGAAAUUUGUGUGCUAGGAAGGUCCGGGUAGCACAGUUAAAAAGUUUGCACGAUAAUGAUAUAGCCGAUAAGGCUAGGAAUGACUUGAAGGAUUAUUAAACUCGUAAGCAACAAGAAUUUCUUAGAGUUAUUGAAUCGGAGUGCGGAAUCGAUUCGCUUAUCGGUGUUCUCGAGUGACUAAUAACUCAGAGCCCGUGGAAAAUUGGAAUCAAUGAGAAUGUAGCACUUGAUGAAAAACUCAUAAGAAGUUAUGCAGUUCCAUGAUAAUCUCGAGAUACCAGGGGGUAAUACUCGACGACAGAUCAAGGUAAAGGUUGGACUAGGGUAUUGCCCUGCAGAAGACAAGUGCUCAAACUUGCACGAGAAACGGAAUCAAGGAGAAACAUGGUCGGAACCACGUCCACGGAUACCAGAUGAACUUAUUACAAGGGGGUAAUUAUUAUAAGAGAAGCUUCCAUGAUAGGAUCUACAUCGUGUCCAUGGGCAUGAACACAAAGGUUCAAGGUCGACUCCCACUUCUUCAAUGCAUAACCUUCCAUUCGCCUCUCGUAUUUGAUAAUGACAUUAGUUGUCGAAAGUUUUACCUGGUGAAAUACCAGAUGAGUAUGGCCCGUGAAAUCUUUCGGGCUCACAUAGAUUAGGUAAGGCAUUGGUUCAACCCAUCGAGGCAUCUUAGGAACAUAUACCACAAUUUUUUUUGGAGUAAUUAACACAAGCUCGAAAGUAGAGCAUGGUUCACAAAACAGAGGAUACAAUUUACCAAAGGCAUCAUGUAUCCGAGGAAAAGCUCACAAGCUUAUUUAAUAUGAAGGACAUUGUCGGAUAAGAUCCGACAAAAGGGUCUGGUGGUCCACAAGGGAUCUGAUGUGAGCAUUAGUACUCAACCAGAGGAAGAAAGAAUGCCAGGAGAUCAGAUUAUAGAAACAACUGACUAACUCAAAGCUCACAUGUAAAGGAAUUAUAGUUUCCAAAUCAAAGGAUCAGAAGCAAAUGCUCUGAUUAAGGAUGGAUAACUUGAGUAAGCUUAGGGGUACAAACGACGACAAUUUGAUUGGUCGAGAUCCAGCUCAUGUUAAAAAUGACGUCUGAGCCGGAAGGAUGAAUUCUAGGAUCUGAUUGAGGAUUGCGAGCAUUCGCAACAAAUUGAAGCAACAGACUCAAAAUGAUAAAUGACAAGGGAUGCCAAUAAGAUUUCGAGACUUCAGAUUAAUCAUAAUGCAAAUAAGCAAGAAUUUCAAGAGCAAAAGGCUCCUGAGGAUUUUCGGAAGAUCGAAUGGUAUUUUGAACACUUUUGUGAAAUACUCGAAUCAACUGGGGAUGAGCGGAUACUCGGUAAGUGCGAGAAUUAUCCGUAAGGGUAUUCAGGUGACAAAGAACUGUAUAGCAGUAAGCUCAAAGGAUUCUUGGAACAACAGAGAGCAUUACGGGGUAUCUUGUAGUAACAAGAUCAACUGGGAAACAUUGUAUGAAUGGCGAGUAUACGUGGUUAUCCAUAGGAGUUCAUCGAUGAAAGGGAAUUGUAAAAGCGAUGAACACAAGUUCUCGGGUUAUCAGCGGAGAGUGUCUUCAGGGUCUUCACGUGAAGCAGACGAUCAUCAGUAAUAAGGGGCUCUCCGGGUGAAAGCGAUAACGAGAUCCUAAUGUUAGAUUUAGCAAAACUCACUUAACCCGAAUAGAAGAGAGAUCAGAGUCCUAGAGUAUAGACAAGGAGUAAAAGCUCCUAAUACCACCCGAUGGCUACGUGGGCCCGUAAGCCACACAGCCAUGUUAGUAAACGUUUAGCAAUGACUAGACUCAACUUCGGCCAAGGAGUGUGGAAAGGGGGAUUCCUACAGGCAGUCGGCUCUGAUACCAACUUGUGACGCCCCCGAUUUGACCGUACACUAAUCAUGCACGCAAAUGUGUGCGAUCAAGAUCAGGGACUCACGGGAAGAUAUCACAACACAACUCUAAAACAUAAAUAAGUCAUACAAGCAUCAUAAUACAAGCCAGGGCCUCGAGGGCUCGAAUACAAGUGCUCGAUCACAGACGAGUCAGCGGAAGCAACAAUAUCUGAGUACAGACAUAAGUUAAACAAGUUUGCCUUAAGAAGGCUAGCACAAAAGUAGCAACGAUCGAAAAGGCAAGGCCUCCUGCCUGGGACCUCCUAACUACUCCUCGAAGCCGAACUCCACGUAGAAUCAUCCUCGGGAUCUCUAGCUCCUGGACUCCAGCAUCUGGUUGCAUCAAUCAGGUAUAGAAAGGGGAAAAGAGGGAGAAAAGCAACCGUGAGUACUCAUCCAAAGUACUCGCAAGCAAGGAGCUACACUACAUAUGCAUGGGUAUAUGUGUAAAGGACCAUAUCGGUGGACUGAACUGCAGAAUGCCAGAAUAAGGGGGGAAUAGCUAGUCCUGUCGAAGACUACGCUUCUGGCAGCCUCCAUCUUGCAGCAUGUAGAAGAGAGUAGAUUGAAGUCCUCCAAGUAGCAUCGUAUAGCAUAAUCCUACCCGGCGAUCCCCUCCUCGUCACCCUGUUAGAGAGCGAUCACCGGGUUAUAUCUGGCACUUGGAAGGGUGUGUUUUAUUAAGUAUCCAGUUCUAGUUGUCAUAAGGUCAAGGUACAACUCCGGGUCGUCCUUUUACCGAGGGACACGGCUAUUCGAAUAGAAAAACUUCCCUGCAGGGGUGCACCACAUAACCCAACACGCUCGAUCCCAUUUGGCCGGACACACUUUUCUGGGUCAUGCCCGGCCUCGUAAGAUCAACACGUCGCAGCCCCACCUAAGCACAACAGAGAGGUCAGCACGCCGGUCUAACCCUAUGCGCGCAGGGGUCUGGGCCCAUCGCCCUAUGCACACCUGCACGUUGCGUACGCGGCCGGAAGCAGACCUAGCCUAGUGGCGUUCCAGUCCAAUCCGGCGCGCGCCACUCAGUCGCUGACGUCACGAAGGCUUCGGCUGAUACCACGACGCCGGGAUACCCAUAACUACUCCCGCGUAGAUGGUUAGUGCGUAUAGACCAAAUGGCCAGACUCAGAUCAAAUACCAAGAACUCGUUAAGCGUGUUAUGUCGAAGUAACCGCGGACGCCGUCCAGGGCCAGGCCCACCUCUCACCUAGGCGGUCUCAACCUGCCCUGUCGCUCCGCCACAAAGAUCCACUUGCGGGUACUCCUACGAGCCGACCCGACUUUAUUUACCACAUGUGUCAUGUAUAGAGUAUAUAAGCAUAUACCCAUGAUCACCGCCCAGGUGAUCACGGCCCGAUAGUAUAGCACAGCAGACGGACAAGAAUGUAGGGCCACUGAUGGAAAACUAGCAUCCUAUACUAAGCAUGUAGGAUUGUAGGUAAAGGUAGCAACAGUAGUAGCAAGGGCAGGCUAUGCAUCAGUAUAGGAUUAACGGAAAGCAGUAACAUCCUACACUACUCUAAUGCAAGCAGUAUAGAGAAGAAUAGGCGAUAUCUGGUGAUCAAGGGGGGGGCUUGCCUGGUUGCUCUGGCAAGAAGGGUUCGUCGUUGAUGUAGUCGAUCACAGGGGUACCGGCAGCGGUCUCAGGGUCUACCGGAAAGAAGUAACGGAGGCGGAACACAAUAAAUAACAGAGUAAUCAAAGCAUCACAAAGCGUAACAUGGCAAUACACGGUGCUAGAGGUGACCUAACGCAGUAUCAGGUACUACUGGAGAAGGGGCAAACAUCCGGGAAAGUAUUCCCGGUGUUUCGCGUUUUCGGACGGGCGGACCGGAGGCAAAAUGUUGCAUGUUCGCUAUGCUAGGGACGUGUGGUGAACGAAUGGACUGUGUAUCCGGAUUUGUCUCGUCGUUCUGAGAAACUUUCAUCUAUAAAUUAUUUCUACCUGACUUACGGUUUAUUUUAUAUGGUUUUCCAAAGUUUUAUUGAUUUUCUGAAAUUACAGAUUUAUUUUAAUUCGAAAAUUAAACGGGAAAUUGCUAGGUGCACAUGGUGCACUGCACCCAGAGUGCACCAGAGGGGCUGACUGGUGGGACCAGUCAACUGCACAGACAGCAGUUGACUGGUACACCUUGACCAGUCAAAGUAGCCGCCUGGCCCCACUUGUAAGUGACUCAGGGGGAGUUUUAUUUAAUCUAAUGUUUUAGCUUAAGUUAAUGGCCUUGGGCCCAGGUGUCAGUGGGGUUAGUGGGGGUGAUUAGUAGCUAAUCUAAGUGCCACGUCCGCGGCGCACCGGCGCGCUAACGACGGCGAGGCGGGGUACGCCGGCGACGACCGUGCGGUCGCCUCCGACCUCGGUUUGCCGCGCAGUCGUCUGCGUCAGGAAGCUGGCGAGGUGGCGCGUCGACUGGGACCGGUGGCUUCGCUGGAGUUAGCCGGAGCUGGCCGGAACGGCGACGAAGAGCAGCGGUGGCGUUCGGGGAGGGGUGCAACGUCAGCGCUACGGGGCAGAGGUGAGGCGUGCGAGUGUGCGUCGUGCUCCUGGGAGCACCAGGAGAACGGUGCUGGGGUCGGGCGAGGCCCACGACGGCCAUGGACGCGUCGGCGGAGCUCAUCGGCGGCGGUGGGGGUACGGGCAUGUCGCAACUACGCGUGCGAGCUCGAAAUCAAGCCCGAGAAAAGGGGGAGAAGGAGCGCGCGCUCACAGUGAGGACGAGGUGCUGCUGGGCUUAAGCCGGGGCGGAGUGACGACGGCUAAUCGAGGAGGCGAACGGUGGCGGCCGGAGGAUGAAGAAGGUCCCGCUCCACUCGCUGCCGUGGCGCCGAGCUCGCACGGGGGCGCGUGGACGACGUAGGGGAGGCAGACGGAGCUCAUGGACUAGAUCUCGGAGCGCGGGGUCGACGUUAGCCGCGGCGGCGAGAAAAACCAUGGCGACGGUGGCUCGGCAGUGCGCGGGGAGGAAGCAAAGGCGAGGGGGAGAACGAGAGGGCGACGGAGUGAGGAGCUAGGGUUAGCAGGAGGGAGAGGGGGCUUUUUGUACUGAGGGGGAGGUCGUGGAUGGCUUCCACGCAGGGCUCGGGUGGCCAUGGCCGGGGGGAUGAGCGCCACGAUCCCCCCCUGCCUCCCUGUAGCAGAGGAAGGGGGCGAGGGGGUGGGCUGGCCCCUUUUGGCUAGAUGGGCCAAGUGGCCCAGGAGGCUCUCUUUUUGUUUUAAUUUUUGUUUAGCCUUAUCCUUUUUCUUAUUUUUCUUUUCUGAUUUAAUUUUAUUUCCCAAAUUGUUUUAGUUUUGUAAAAUAUUCAUUUAGUACCUAAAAUAGUAACAUUAAUUAUACCACUGCCACAAUAACUUUGGAACCUAGCUAAAGUAGUUUAGUAUUUUAUAAAAUAUAAUAGGGGUAUAACUAAUUGUUUUUGCUGCUGUUGUCAUCACUUUAGGGUAUUUAAUUAUUUUCAAAAGAUGUUGUUUCUCCACCAAUAUCAUCCAUGAUUUAUUUGUCACAUUAACAACAUUUUAUUUUUAAUAUUUGAAAAUAUUUUAUUGUUUGCUUGAUUUUGAAUUUGAAUUCGAACCGGUUUCGAACUAACUCGAGAUUAGCAACUAUAAUUGAGGUGACGUGGCAUCAUUAGCAGAGGUUCACUGUAGCUUAAUUAUCCGGGCGUCACACUCGAUGUGUCUCCUCCUCGUGGAUCCCUCGAACCAUUCCUCGUGGUUCCCUUGAAUGGUCGAUCAAAGGACCGUAGGUGAAGCGUCUCCAAGGUAUCCACACGCACGGAGCAACGUCACUCGACGGAUUGCUAGAUCCUAAUGGGCAACUUGGGUGGGGGAGUGGUGUCCACAGUUGGAUGGGAGACAAAGAUCAACCCUAAAGCGUGUGCCCACUCUCCUUUAUAUAGACCUCCCUAAUGGGCUUAGGCCUAUUAGAAUACUUCGCCCCCUUAAGCGUGCAACCCUAUAGGUUCACGUGUACAUGGACACAACCCGAGUCAAUAGAUUAUAGAUGGUAGAGGUUCCUAGCAGAACGUGCCAACUUUCAUGUGUGUGUAAAGUCGUUUGACGAAUCUUGAAGAUGUGGCAUAUGCAACAUUUGUUUUGUCUCACAAUAUGUGUUGUAUAGCUCAAGGCAAGUAUUUGUCGCCCUCGUUGGUACCUCGGCCACUCCUUUUGAAAUGGUGAUACAGAUUCCCGAGCUAGGUUAACGCUUAACCCAAGUCGCAAUGGACAUACUUUUUGAAUCUGAUCAUUCAAGAGGGCGUAGAGAAUAUCUCUCUGAAUCGGGGGGAUUGUUGGGAAUCGUUGCAUGGAAAACAAAUUUUUCCUACGCACACGCAAUGAUCUAUCCAUGGAGAUGCAUAGCAACGAGGGGGAGAGUGUGUCUACGUACCCUCGUAGACCGUAAGCGGAAGCGUUUGACAACGCAGUUGAUGUAGUCGAACUUCUUCUAGCUCCGACCGAUUAAGUACCGAACGCACGACACCUCCGAGUUCUGCACACGUUCAGCUCGGUGACGUCCCUCGCCUUCUUGAUCUAGCAAGACGUCGAGGUAGUAGAUGAGUUCCUUCAGCACGAUGGCGUGGUGACGGUGAUGGUGAAGUGAUCUUCGCAGAGCUUCACCUAAGCACCACGAAGAUAUGACCGAGGGUGUAAACUAUGGAGGGGGGCGCCGCACACGGCUAGGCAAUUGUCUGGGUGUGCUAGGCGCCCCUCCCACAUAUAUAUAGGUGGGGGGAGGGAGCAGCCAGGAGGCGCUCCAAGUAGGAUCUGAAUCCUACUUGGGGUUUCCCCAAGUGCCCUCCCCCCCUUGCCUUAUUUCAUCGGAGAAGAAAGGGAAGGGGGAAGAGAGAAAGGAAAGGGGGGCCGAACCCCCUUUUUCCUUCUCCCAAUUCGGCCUCCUGCCAUAGGGGGGCACCCCUUGUGGGCUGGUGUGCUCCCCUCCCAUGUCCCAUAUGGCCCAUAUAUCCCCCCAGGGGGUUCUGGUAACCCCUCCGGUACUCCGAUAAAUACCCGAUACACUCCGGAACACUUCCGGUGUCCGAAUACUAUCGUCCUAUAUAUCAAUCUUUACCUCUCGACCAUUUCGAGACUCCUCGUCAUGUCCGUGAUCACAUCCGGGACUCCUAACAACAUUCGUUCACCAAAUCAUAUAACUCAUAUAACACUAUAUCGUCAACGAACGUUAAGCGUGCGGACCCUACGGGUUCGAGAACUAUGUAGACAUGACCGAGACACCUCUCCGGUCAAUAACCAAUAGCGGAACCUGGAUGCCCAUAUUGGCUCCUACAUAUUCUACGAAGAUCUUUAUCGGUCGAACCAUUAUGACAACAUACGUUAUUCCCUUUGUCUAUCGGUAUGUUACUUGCCCGAGAUUCGAUCGUCGGUAUCUUCAUACCUAGUUCAAUCUCGUUACCGGCAAGUCUCUUUACUCAUUCCGUAAUACAUCACCUCAUGACCAACUCCUUAGUCGUUUGCUUGCAAGCUUAUGAUGUGUAUUACUGAGAGGGCCCAGAGAUACCUCUCCGAUACUCAGAAUGACAAAUCCUAAUCUCGAUCUAUGCCAACUCAACAAACACCUUCGGAGAUACUUGUAGAGCAUCUUUAUAAUCACCCAGUUAUGUUUGUGAUGUUUGAUAGCACAUAAGGUAUUCCUCCGGUAUCCGAGAGUUGCAUAAUCUCAUAGUCGAAGUAAUAUGUAUUUGACAUGAAGAAAGCAAUAGCAAUAAAACUAAACGAUCAUAAUGCUAAGCUAACGGAUGGGUCUUGUCCAUCACAUCAUUCUCCUAAUGAUGUGAUCCCGUUAUCAAAUUACAACUCAUGUCCAUGGUUAGGAAACCUUAACCAUCUUUGAUCAACGAGCUAGUCUAGUAGAGGCUCACUAGGGACACGGUGUUUAUUUAUGUAUUCACACAUGUAUCAAGGUUUCCGGUCAAUACAAUUCUAGCAUGAAUAAUAAAGCUUUAUCAUGAUUAAGUAAAUAUAAUAAUAACCAUUUUAUUAUUGCCUCUAGGGCAUAUUUCCAUCAGGGAUCUCAUCUUGGUCAACCAUGUCUCGCAACAUAUUUCACGAGUAACAUGAAAGCUUGCUACCUCUUCAGCUUGCGUUGGUUUUUCCCUUGAAGAGGAAAGGGUGAUGUAGCAAAGUAGAGUAAGUAUUUCCCUCAGUUUUGAGAACCAAGGUAUCGAUCCAGUAGGAGACAACGCGCAAGUCACCGAAUACCUGCACAAACAAACACCAACUUGCACCCAACGCGAUAAAGGGGUUUUCAAUCCCUUCGCAAUUAUUGGCAAAGUGAGGUGUGAUAGAGAUGGAUAAAUGGUAAAGUAAUAAUUUUGGUAUUUUUGGUUUAUGGAACGGAAAGUAAAAGAUUGCAAAGGAAGUAAAUCGGAAACUAAAAUUGUAGAUCGGAAACUUAUAUGCUGCAAAAUAGACCCGGGGGCCAUAGGUUUCACUAGAGGCUUCUCUCAAGAUAGAAAAUAUUACGGUGGGUGAACAAAUUACUGCCGAGCAAUUGAUAGAAAAGCGCAAAGUUAUGACGAUAUCUAAGGCAAUGAUCAUGAAUAUAGGCAUCACGUCCGUAUCAAGUAGACCGACUCCUGCCUACAUCUACUACUAUUACUCCACACAUCGACCGACUCCUGCCUGCAUCUAGAGUAUUAAGUUCAUAGAACAGAGUAACGCAUUAAGUAAGAUGACAUGAUGUAGCGGGAUAAACUCAAGCAAUAUGAUGAAAACCCCAUCUUGUUAUCCUCGAUGGCAACAAUAGAAUACGUGUCGGUUCCCCUUCUGUCACUGGGAUCGAGCACCGCAAGAUUGAACCCAAAGCUAAGCACUUCUCCCAUUGCAAGAAAAACCAAUCUGGUUGGCCAAACCAAAUCGAUAGUUCGAAGAGACUUGCAAAGAUCUCAAAUCAUGCAUAUAAGAAUUCAGAUAAGAUUCAAAUAAUAUUCAUAGAUAAGCUGAUCAUAAAUCCACAAUUCAUCGGAUCUCUGCAAACACACCGCAAAAGAGUAUUGCAUCGGAUAGAUCUCCAAGAACAUCGAGGAGAACAUGGUAUUGAUAAUCAAAGAGAGAGAAGGAUCCAUCUAGCUACUAGCUAUGGACCCAUAGGUCUGAGGUAAACUACUCAUGCUUCAUCGGAGAGGCAAUGGUGUUGAUGUAGAAGCCCUUUAUGAUCGAAUCCCCCUCCGGCAGAACACCGGAAAAGGCCCCUAGAUGGGAUCUCACGGGUACAGAAGGUUGCGGCGGUGGAAAAGAGUUUUCGUGGCUCUCCUGGUAGGUUUUGGAAUAUUUGAGAAUAUAUAGGUGGAAGAAAUAGGUCGGUGGAGUCACGAGGGGCCCACAAGGGUGGGGGCGCUCCCUACCCCCUGGGCGCGCCCUCCGUCCUUGUGGGAGCCUCGUAGCUUCCCUGAUGUGUACUCCAAGUCCUCUGGAUGUCUUCUGGUCCAAGAAAAAUCAUCGCGAAAGUUUCAUUCCGUUUGGACUCCGUUUGGUAUUCCUUUUCUGCGAAACUCUAAAACAAGGAAAAAACAGAAACUGGCACUGGGCUCUAGGUUAAUAGGUUAGUCCCAAAAAUAAUAUAAAAUAGCAUAUUAAUGCAUAUAAAACAUCCAAAAUAGAUAAUAUAAUAGCAUGGAACAAUCAAAAAUUAUAGAUACGUUGGUGACGUAUCAAAGAUACGUUUAUAACUACCCCGUCACGGAGUAGCGUCUGAUAGACCCUAAGUAAGUCUAUUCACAUCCUGAGUACAUGCGAAGACCUCUGGUCUAGGAUAUGGCAUAAACAUUGUACCUAAGACUAACAUAUGAAAAUAUCUCACUGCUUACAUGACUAACGUAGAAAUCAUACAAAGCUUGGUCAAAAUCAGGAUCAUCUACUGAAAAAUCUUGCCAAACAUGUGAAAAAAAUAUUAAGCAAACAGAGAAGCAUGAAAAAAUACUAACAAAAUGCAACCAAAUAACUAAGAACCAGAGACAGUUGGAGAAAAUCAUCCUCGGCAAGAACACUAGGAACAAAAUGAUCCCCAUCUGAAUCAUCGCUCUCUUCAGGACAGCAGACAGGAAUGCCCUUAGAACAACCCUUCCGGACUCUAGCCAUAGUAUAAAAUAUUUCCUAAAUAUGGUUGAACAUACAUACAAAAAAUACUAAGAAGUACUGCAGUAUGAAUAACCACAGGACCAGUGUUGAUGAACUAACAAAAAUAAACUCCGAACAUUACACAAGUUCAAUAAUUGUCCAUUGCAUAAACAUUACCAGGUUGCAUAAAAUGGAGCAACAAUAGCAAACCAUUCAAUCCAAACAAAAAAAUCUACUCACAAAAGGCAUAUACAAAUACAAAUACAACACUGAACAAAAAAGUGCAAUUUACAAAAUAUAAAGGCUCGAUACACAAAGAUAACAACAGAACACAUUAACUGAGCCAAGAAAAUAUAUACAAUGAACAAAUGCCUAAGGAGACUACUAAUUUAAAUUAUACUUAAACUAGAAAUUACAACUAAUGAAAAAGAGCUGGCACAUUUCACCCCCCGCAAAUACCAAAAACUCAUAUUAGCAUAAGCAUGACAACAAAAAAUACUAAUAAGCAGGAAAAACUAAACUAAAUCACUACCUACCAUGCUUAUAAAAAUCUAAAUAGUCAAGCAUCAGCUAUGAAACUUACUAAAUCACCGGGUAGCAAACUGAAGCUUACAACAACUACAAAAACAAAUCAGGAACUACAACUCAGGGAGAAAUACUCGACAACUCUAGGUACUUAACUAACCUAAAAUCAAUGUUCCACGACAAAGGCAUCUAUACAGCUAACUAAGCUAACAACAACUAACAUCACUCGUGCAACAAAAUCUCCUACAAAUUACAAUGAACCUAACACAACCAAAUCAGCAAACACUACUAACCCUGAUACAAUCAACCAGGGGAUGCAUACGAUGCAAAAAGAACUAACCAACAGCUAAAUCACGGAUCCAAAUGGUCAAAAAGACAAAAACGUAUCACGCGAACAACAUACCCACGUACAUCUAUCAGAAGAAAUAAAAUCAUGCAAAACCUAUGGUGAAACUAACACAUACAUCAUACAAUGGUGCAUGAGCAAACCUACGUAUCAGAGAACACAAGCAAAACGCAAAUCUCGGCAACGAAUUAAAAUCAGGAACAAAAAGGGGAGAGAUGCAAUGCUGGGGAGAAGUAGUACGGGGAGAGAUGAAAUGAACCACGAAUCCCAGAAGAGCACCGGACUCCCGACCACCAAACUCCCCAAGCGAGCAGCAAGGUAGAGCUCCAAACCAAAAUCGCCAUGCCUCCCUCUCCCUCUCCCUCUCCCUCUCCCUCUCCCUCUCUCUCUCUCUCUCUCUGAGCCCUUGACGCGUCCGCCACUGAGAAGGGAAAGAGACAAAGGCAGCGUGAAUUGACGGGUCUCCUUGAAUUUUUACGGGUUCAAUAACAACCAACCAGCCCGAGAGCUGAAAGAAAAGCAGAACUGCACGAAUCUCAACAAAGAGAUCUGACAACAAAAAAGAAUGAAAGCCAAAAGUUUUCACCCGGCUGAAAAAAGUUAGAAAUUCUCAUGAAGUUAGAGCGACUGGUGUGUCUAACCAACAAAAUUCCACAAAAAGAAUGAUUGUUUGUGUCUUGUAAAAUAAAAAAUGACAAGUAGGUUCUUCAUGUCUUUUCCAUACGAAAUACAAAUAGAGAUAUUUUUUACAUUCCGUACAAGUUAUUGUUCUAUAGCAUUUCCUAUGACCAUGAAUUUUGCGCAUUUUUGGAAGUCACAAGGUUUUAAACAAUUUCAAAUCCGGUCUAGUAUUUAUUUGAAACAGUUUUUGAAAUUCAGAAUGAACCUUGCGGGACAUUUUCUUCUCUACCAAGAUGUCCCAUUUCUCAUUACUUUCCUAACCGAGCCUGCAGCAGUUUAUUGUUUAAAGAUGAUCAACUAGUUCAUGCUGCCAAAACAAUAAACUGCUGCAGUAACCAUACACCAUAACACAUAAUUUUCAGCAACCCAGCUCAACCCAAUAAUACUGCUCCAUCCCAUUCCCAUACCACGUCUGAAAACACAAUCAGACAUCUCAGUAGAAGACUAACACACUAAAGCAGCAGUGCACAAGGGCAGGUAAACAAGCUAGAGUUCUUGAAUUCAAACUGAAAGCAUUCUAGAAUUCAUGAUCCACAGAAGGGAGCGAUCAAACGCCUAGUCUAGGAGGUGAAGAUCUCGGCAGGUACAUGACCAUGAAGAUAAAAACUCACGUUAGUGACAGCGAGAGCUACAGCAUUACAGACGGCGGCUAAAUUAAUCUUACUUAGGGAAAAACAGCAUGCCAGAGAGCAAGAACCUAAAUCUCCUAGCUAUCAGGUCGGCCAUUGCUGGUCUACGGCAGACGUUACAGCAGUACCAGCUCCUCUCCAGCCCAGCCAACAAAUGGGGCUCUCUUCGAAGGCUUGAGCACGCGGUGUUAG
rnacentral:lncRNA from 1 species